UACGUAGGGUGCAAGCGUUGUCCGGAAUUAUUGGGCGUAAAGAGCUCGUAGGCGGUCUGUCGCGUCGGAUGUGAAAAUCCAGGGCUCAACCCUGGACCUGCAUUCGAUACGGGCAGGCUGGAGUUCGGUAGGGGAGACUGGAAUUCCUGGUGUAGCGGUGAAAUGCGCAGAUAUCAGGAGGAACACCGGUGGCGAAGGCGGGUCUCUGGGCCGAUACUGACGCUGAGGAGCGAAAGCGUGGGGAGCGAACAGG
rnacentral:rRNA from 1 species